CCUCUCUGAGAGGCAGCAUGUGGCCGGCGGAACCAAAAGUAAACACGCAAAAGCACUCAAGAACCUCCUGACGGCCUACCGGCAGCCGCAGGCAGAAUACAUCUUCAGAAUUUUGGUUGCUUUCCCAGAAUCUAGAAGCAAAUUUACCCUGAAGUGGCACAUCACAAAUGAAUGAAUCUGGGCUUCUGUGGUGAGAGAUUUGCAAACUUGGCUUCAAUUAUUUUAAUGAGUUAUAUCUAGAGACUCUUUGAAAGAAAGCAUAGUCAUGGCAGAUAGGUUUGUUUAUCUUUAAUAGUCUCUAAACUCUACUCCAAUUACACUUGAUCUGUGGAUUCAUAGCUUGAAUAAUAAUAAUGCAAAUUUACACUCAGAAUAGUUAUUGCGAGUUCACCACAAUUCAGACACUGAGUUUUGUACUCUGCUCAUAAAAUGUAGUAGAAAAAUAGAUGUUGGAGGCCGGUGCUGAGGCCGCCUACAGUGUUGGCAUCCCACAUGGGCACCGGUUUGAGUACUGGCUGCUCAACAUCCGAUCCAGCUGUCUGCUAUGGCCUGGGAAAGCAGUAGAAGAUGGCCCAAGUCCUUGGGCUCCUACACCCAUGUAGGAGACCUGGAAGAAGCUCCUGGCUCCUGUCUCCUGGCUUCAGAUUGGCACAGCUCCAGCCAUUGCGGCCAACUAGGGGAGUGAACCAGUGGAUGGAAGACUUCUUUCUCUCUCUCUGCCUCUCCUUCUGCAUAAC